AAACCGUGCUGUGGGUAUGAACUGACAAGAUCCUUGAAUCGCUCCCAACAUUGGAAGAAUGUUUCAUCUUCCUGUUGAGCGAAAAUCAUGAUCAACUUUCUAAGGUU